GACCAGGAGUGGAGGGAGAGUCCAUGUCACCUCCCCAGAGCUGGAGAGGAAAAAGAGAACUGGGGGUUGGAGGGGAGGACAAAGAAAAAUAUUAGUCAAGGACGAGCUCCCUGGAGGAGGAGGGGCUUGCCCAGCACUGAAGAAUUUCCAUCAGGGCUUUCUGACCUGGUCAGCAGCUGGGUGAUCAGCAGUGAGGGAGAGAGAAACAAGGAGAGGAAAACAACAGACCCUUUCUCUUCCCUCCGCCUGCCGCUGGAAGGGACGGAGCGCUUGUGCCUCUCUGAAAUGGAACUGGUUGGGCUGUGCCCCUGGUGGUGCAGAAGGUGUGGAGGACUCCCCAGGCUCUGGGAAGAGAGGCAGCAGAGACAGAACUAGCUGAGCAAGCAGGAGAUCGAAUGAAUACCCCUGUGCCCUGGUCCUUGUUCCCAGCACAGGCCUCAGCUUCUCAUCAGUCACCUCCUCUAAGUUCCUAGGGGGGCAGGGAGGGUCCAGCAGGAAAAGCUGUCGGUAAGAAAUAAAGGGAUGGAUCAAUAAAGGAGGGGGUAUUUGA